rnacentral:misc_RNA from 1 species
GAUGAAGAACGUAGCGAAAUGCGAUAAGUAGUGUGAAUUGCAGAAUUCAGUGAAUCAUCGAAUCUUUGAACGCACAUUGCGCCCCUUGGUAUCCCGAGGGGCAUGCCUGUUCGAGCGUCAUUUCACCACUCAAGCCUGGCUUGGUGUUGGGCGACGUCCCCUUUGGGGACGCGCCUCGAAACGCUCGGCGGCGUGGCACCGGCUUUAAGCGUAGCAGAAUCUUUCGCUUUGGAAGUCGGGGCCCCGUCUGCCGGAAGACCUACUCGCAAGGUUGACCUCGGAUCAGGCAGGGAUACCCGCUGAACUUAAGCAUAUCACUAAGCGGAGGA